UUUACAAGCUAGAAUCGUCAUUGAUUUAUCGCACACUUUUCAAAAUAGCAAUGAGAAAGACAUUCAUCACUUUGCUCUCCAUGGCUUUCAUGAUGCUUAUUACAGCAGGCUUGCAGAGUGUACAAGGUUCAGUUUUGAUAGGUGAACCAUGCACAACAGUUGCGGAUUGCCGCCAUUCCUGCCAACACGGCAUGAUCUACUAUUGCGCCAAUGGAUACUGCCAUUGUGAUAUGAAGGAGGAGGCUAUCGGCAAAAGUGCAGUGGGAGUUUUUAGAAAACUUGUAUAAAUUAAUAUGACAUUGUGAUUGUACACAAGAACAACUAUUUAUCACAAUAUCCUUUCGUUGGUGGAAAUAAUGAAGACUUCAAAUAUUAAUUGAGAAUCUUGUCCAUUUUUU